CACACCCUGAAGACUGGAGAAGUGUUCUCCACCCUAAGAGUUUCUCUGCAGAAGUUAGUGUCCUUCAAGAUGCCGAAUCAAACUUCCGCUCCAAAUGUCUUGUGUCAACUAUCUGCAAAGCACGGAAUAUGAUGCCAGAGGUGCAGCAGCUAUAGUUCGGUCAUGAAGCAACAAACGGAACAGAGGCCUGCAUUCCAAGGAUGACAGAGCAGAACAAUUCAAAGAGGCUAGAUCCUUUAUGGCAUCAUUGUGCGACCAUGUUUCUUCACCGCACAGCUCCAGUGUCCUCACAACAGCGGGAUUCCCCCAGAAUGAGAGGUCCAAGAGACAAAGGCAGAAGCAGGAAUGCCUUUCAUCUCAGAAGUCACACCAUACCACCUCCAUGGUGCUCUGUUGGUCACAGAAACCAGCCCUAAGUCAGCGUGGGAGGAGAGUACGUACAAGCAUGAAUACCAGGAGGACAGGAUGCAGAGAUCUAGGCAGAUCGAAGAGUUUGCCCAACAUCACAGAGCUAUUAAAUGGCAACAAUGGGAUCUGAACUCCAGCAUUAUGCUCUUCAGCACCCUCCUGUGUGUGUCUCUUCAGCCGGUAGGAGUCCUAGUAUCCCAUCUAACAGCCCCAAUCCCUGGCAGACAACAUACACCAGUCCUAAUAUUAUCAGAGUGUUGCUGUGCCUUUUUUAAAUUGCUUUUCCUGCAGGGACACACUCUCUCACUA